rnacentral:rRNA from 1 species
UACAGAGGUCCCAAGCGUUUGUUCGGAUUCAUUGGGCGUAAAGGGUGCGUAGGCGGCGCGGUAAGUCGGGUGUGAAAUCUCGGGGCUUAACUCCGAAACUGCAUUCGAUACUGCCGUGCUUGAGGACUGGAGAGGAGUACUGGGAAUUUACGGUGUAGCGGUGAAAUGCGUAGAGAUCGUGAGGAAGACCAGUGGCGAAGGCGGGUCUCUCGGACAGUUCCUGGACAGC